AGAGUUUGAUCCUGGCUCAGAACGAACGCUGGCGGCAUGCCUAACACAUGCAAGUCGAACGAGACCUUCGGGUCUAGUGGCGCACGGGUGCGUAACACGUGGGAAUCUGCCCUUGGGUUCGGAAUAACAGUUGGAAACGACUGCUAAUACCGGAUGAUGACGUAAGUCCAAAGAUUUAUCGCCCAAGGAUGAGCCCGCGUCGGAUUAGCUAGUUGGUGGGGUAAAGGCCUACCAAGGCGACGAUCCGUAGCUGGUCUGAGAGGAUGAUCAGCCACACUGGGACUGAGACACGGCCCAGACUCCUACGGGAGGCAGCAGUGGGGAAUAUUGGACAAUGGGCGAAAGCCUGAUCCAGCAAUGCCGCGUGAGUGAUGAAGGCCUUAGGGUUGUAAAGCUCUUUUACCCGGGAAGAUAAUGACUGUACCGGGAGAAUAAGCCCCGGCUAACUCCGUGCCAGCAGCCGCGGUAAUACGGAGGGGGCUAGCGUUGUUCGGAAUUACUGGGCGUAAAGCGUACGUA
rnacentral:rRNA from 1 species